rnacentral:rRNA from 1 species
UCGCUGCCCGGAACUGAGCCGUUUCGAGAAGAACAGGGAGGUUGAUUGGUUGGGCCUUGCUUAGCCAUUUUUGACUGAACUAUUUUUAUCGGUACAGCUUGAACCGGGCAA